AUUUUGGCCAGACAUGCAAGGGUCUCAUUUCAGAACAACUUGAGGAGCCAUUUGACCCAGCAUCAGGGGAAACAGAAAGAGAAUGUCAGUCAUUUGCUUAUUUAACUAUUUUUAAAGACAUAAUUAGUUCUAUUGAAUUAUUGCAGCAGAGGAAGGAUGGAAAUACGAGAACUAGUGCAAAGUAGGAGGGGAAAUAAAGGCAGUGGGAACUCAACUUGAAAAUUUCAAAAGCUAAAUAAUGUUGAAAACAAGGACCACAUUGGUUUAACAUCUUGUUUCCUUUUGUUUAUUGCUGGGCGUUAGAAGGUUCAUGGGCCCGUGUACAGAAGUGAUAUUGAAAAAAAGAGAAAGAAGAAAGAAAGAAAGAAAAAGAAAGAAAGAAAAAAGCUCUUCCCUUUACAACACAAUGCAAAAACUCUCAACUCCUUCCGGAAUCUAAAAGAAUUUUGGAGGUGGCAAACCUUGGAGAACCUUUUUGACAUCUACACCUUGACCAUUAUAUAUCUAAACGGUUUUAAAAACCAAGAAACAAGAGGAUUGGAUGUGCUGAGGAGAGCAAAGAUUCUAUAUUGCCUCAACAGUUGCUCCCUUCCUGCGGCAAAGAAAAUGGCAAAGCAAGCAUUUUUUUGGCCCUUCAUCCAGGCAAUGAAUGGCCCAGGUACUGACAUCACCUAACUCUCUGGGGAAAGGACAUUCACUUCCAAUCCAGUUGAGAAUAACUAAGUCUAAACAGAAAAUGAUGGACAAUAUGCAAAAUUCCAUCUUCCAAGCCAAAUAACUGGAAUAUUUUAGAACAUACUGAA
ensembl:lncRNA